UACAGAGGUCUCGAGCGUUGUUCGGAUUCAUUGGGCGUAAAGGGUGCGCAGGUGGCGUGGUAAGUCUGGUGUGAAAUCCCGGGGCUCAACCCCGGAACUGCACUGGAUACUGCCAUGCUUGAGUACUGGAGAGGAGAUUGGAAUUUACGGUGUAGCAGUGAAAUGCGUAGAUAUCGUAAGGAAGACCAGUGGCGAAGGCGAAUCUCUGGACAGUUACUGACACUGAGGCACGAAGGCCAGGGGGAGCAAACGGGG
rnacentral:rRNA from 1 species